rnacentral:rRNA from 1 species
GACGAACGCUGGCGGCGUGCCUAAUACAUGCAAGUCGAACGCACGAAGUUGAAGAGCUUGCUCUUUAACCAAGUGAGUGGCGGACGGGUGAGUAACACGUGGGUAACCUGCCCAUUAGAGGGGGAUAACAUUCGGAAACGGAUGCUAAUACCGCAUAGUUUCAGGAAUCGCAUGAUUCUUGAAGGAAAGGUGGCUUCGGCUACCACUAAUGGAUGGACCCGCGGCGUAUUAGCUAGUUGGUGAGGUAAUGGCUCACCAAGGCAAUGAUACGUAGCCGACCUGAGAGGGUGAUCGGCCACACUGGGACUGAGACACGGCCCAGACUCCUACGGGAGGCAGCAGUAGGGAAUCUUCCGCAAUGGACGAAAGUCUGACGGAGCAACGCCGCGUGAGUGAAGAAGGUUUUCGGAUCGUAAAACUCUGUUGUUAAAGAAGAACAAGGAUGAGAGUAACUGCUCAUCCCCUGACGGUAUUUAACCAGAAAGCCACGGCUAACUACGUGCCAGCAGCCGCGGUAAUACGUAGGUGGCAAGCGUUGUCCGGAUUUAUUGGGCGUAAGGCGAGCGCAGGCGGUUCUUUAAGUCUGAUGUGAAAGCCCCCGGCUCAACCGGGGAGGGUCAUUGGAAACUGGAGAACUUGAGUGCAGAAGAGGAGAGUGGAAUUCCACGUGUAGCGGUGAAAUGCGUAGAUAUGUGGAGGAACACCAGUGGCGAAGGCGACUCUCUGGUCUGUAACUGACGCUGAGGCUCGAAAGCGUGGGGGAGCAAACAGG